rnacentral:lncRNA from 1 species
GUCGAGGGUGCCUAGGAUAAAAGUAGCUAAGGAACAAGCCUAAUAGCAUUUUUCAUUAAAAUCAUAUGAUUCUCACAGUGCAUUUAUUUUCUUUCCCUAGGUGCCUUACAAAAGAAAGAAGGAAGCCACAAGCAGUCAGAGGAGAAACAUUUGCUACCUGAUGCAAAACCCCAUGAACAAAUGUGAAGGGGGUGACCCAGCAACUGGGUGCACUAGGAAGUGUUCCAUCACCGAGCCACCACAGCCCGUGGCAGCUCCACAAGGACAUCGCCCUGGAGGUGCAGAAAGAUGUCCCACCCUGUGAACUCCCAGAUCUGGACUCCCUCAGAGAUCCGUGCUUGCCCACCACUGUCCCACUCUUCCUCCCAGAAGACCCUUCCUCUUCCCUUCCUCCUCUCCUCCCCAUUCCUGCCCUGAGAGGGCCUCUCUGAAAAUUCUAGGUCCCCCAGGGUCCAAAUCCUAAGGUUUGGGUAUGUGUGAGAAGUGGGGUGGACCUUGCAAAACUAUGCCUUGUCAGUCAUACACAGUAGUCCCCCUCAUCUGCAGGGGUGUGUUCCAAGGCCCCCAGGGGAUGCCUAAAACUACAGAGAGUACUGAAUUGUGAAUAUACUCUAUUUUUUUCCAUAUAGACACUUAUGAUAAUGUUUGCUUUACAAAUUUAAAGAUAGUAAGAGAUUUACAAUAACUAACAAUAUGUUAGAGCCAUUACAACAAUAUGCUGUGAUAAAAGUUAUGUGAAUGUGAUGGUUUUGAGUGUAGAUCUUGGCAAUCUCAGUAUACAAUUUUUUUCUUUAUUAGGUUUACAUUUUUACCUUCUCACUCAAAGGAAGCACUUUAUGGCUUCUCCUUGGCUUAUUUGAAUUGCCAGCAUCAUUACUCCUGUAGUUUGGGGAGUUAUUAAGUAAAUUAAGGGUGAGUGAACACAGGCAGUGACAACAGAUCUGAUAACCAAGGACUAGCACAGGGACUAGCUAGCCAGUGACUAGCAGGUGGGUAGUGUAUACAGCAUGGAUACCCUGGACAAUGGGUUGAUUCAAGUUCCAGGUAGGACUGAGUGAUAGCAGGAGACUUACGACUCAAUACUCAGAAGAGCAAGCAAUCUUGUUUUUGAGUUUCACUAUGCAGACCAUGUCGAUCUUGAAUUCUCUAUGUAGCCUAGGCUGGCCUCAAGGGCAUAUGAUUUAAAACACAUAAAUGGUUAACUUCUGGAAUUCUCAAUGUAUUUUUAGACCAACAGAAACCUAAAAUAAAAGCAGACUACCUACAUCACAAC